GGGAUACUUAGUACGGCGAGUGAGCGGUAAAAGCUCAAAUUUGAAAUCUGGUACUUUCAGUGCCCGAGUUGUAAUUUGUAGAAUUUGUCUUUGAUUAGGUCCUUGUCUAUGUUCCUUGGAACAGGACGUCAUAGAGGGUGAGAAUCCCGUUUGGCGAGGAUACCUUUUCUCUGUAAGACUUUUUCGAAGAGUCGAGUUGUUUGGGAAUGCAGCUCAAAGUGGGUGGUAAAUUCCAUCUAAAGCUAAAUAUUGGCGAGAGACCGAUAGCGAACAAGUACAGUGAUGGAAAGAUGAAAAGAACUUUGAAAAGAGAGUGAAAAAGUACGUGAAAUUGUUGAAAGGGAAGGGCAUUUGAUCAGACAUGGUGUUUUUUGCAUGCACUCGCCUCUCGUGGGCUUGGGCCUCUCAAAAAUUUCACUGGGCCAACAUCAAUUCUGGCAGCAGGAUAAAUCAUUAAGAAUGUAGCUACUUCGGUAGUGUUAUAGCUUUUUGGAAUACUGUUAGCCGGGAUUGAGGACUGCGCUUCGGCAAGGAUGUUGGCAUAAUGGUUAAAUGCCGCCCGUCUUGAACCACGGACC
rnacentral:rRNA from 1 species